AAGACAUCACUUCAAGUAAUCUGAAACAGUUCAUACAAUGCGUCAUUCUGCUUUCUAUCUUGCAUUUAUUUCAGUAAAUUGCUCAAACUUGUCGAAUAAGAUAGCACAACUCACACAACAACCAACAAACGCCUCAUGUUUCAACUACACCUUCCAAGGAUAGAUAAUAAGCCAUUAUUAGAGUACAUGCAGAAAACUUUAUCUGCUUCUCACUAAAACAGGGAAGAAACAUAACAGUACCCAGCUCCAACACAAUAUCAGUAGUAAGUACUCCCUCCGUUCCAAAAUAGAUGACCCAACUUUGUACUAAAGUUUUUAGUAUAAAGUUGAGUCAUCUAUUUUGGAACGGAGGGAGUAGAUAUCUAUCCAACGCUAAGUCUGACAUGUACCCAGUGCAAGAUCAAAUAAUGAAACAAAAAUUCGAAUAUGAAACAAGACAACUUUAUGGC
rnacentral:lncRNA from 1 species